AUGCUUGAGGAGGAUAAUUCCAACCAAACAAAAGAGGAUGUCAUUCUGAGGGGCCUGCCAUAUUUCCUCCGUGAAGAUCCUUCAAAUUUCCUCAGGACUGCCGAGCCCACAGACAUGGAGGACAGCAUGACUAGGGGAAUGAAUGUCGGCAUUGUCGUAGUCAAACAAGGAGAGGAUCUUCUUGACAUAUCGGUGGUCCUAGAGGAACAGAUCAUUCUGCAUGGAAUCAAGGACUACUCACAUGCAGUAGUUAUGUUAAUGGGGCUGCUAUAUGCACUGAACAUUGACUACCCGAAGGAGCUGCAAUACACCUUCGAAGUCAUUCAGAAGGUUCUCAUGAACAUCGGCAGUGAGAACUGCUCUGCCAGGGUUCAUGGACUGAGGAAUAGACUUUUUCGUAAAACUGUGUAGACACUACACUGAGACUGAGAGUUUUCUUUUGAGUUCUGUUACUACUAUUCUGUUACUACUAUCUGUUACUAGUUCAUUACUAUUGUAAUGGUCACUGACAUUCUCAGUUGCAAGAGUUGACAGAAGUAGACUGGGUUUGAGGUCUUUCCUGGAAAGUCUUUUUGACCUGUUUGGUUCUGCAUCAUUUUAUUUUAUAUUUUUCUCAUGUUAUGACAGACGUAAUGAGUAGAGAACUAAUUUGUGUUAUUCUAAAUGUGUUAUUGUUCGUGUUAUUGUAAUAUUCUAAAUAGACACACACACACACACACGGCUCUCUCUCAUUUUUUUUGUACUACAUCCCAUAUCUGCUUCCUCUGGUCUCAUCUCCCAUAUUGCUAAUUAAUGUUUUAUUUUCUCUUUAAUAAAACAGUGACACACACACACCUCUGUUUAAAUAUUUCUCUCCCGCCUGCCUCACUUCCCCUCACUUCAUCUUGUCAUUGCCUGUCAGUAGGGAUCCUUCUCUUGCUGGUACUCAAUGGACGUAAUGAGUACUCAUUUGUGUUAUUCUAAAGAGGAGAUGUUUUACCCAUAAGCUAUUGCUGUUUUUGGGGACGUUUUGUACUUGAUGGGAUCUGUUGCUGUGUUUACCUUGCCCAUCUGGUUUAUUAAAGCUUUGAAGAACUGGAAUU
rnacentral:lncRNA from 1 species